rnacentral:rRNA from 1 species
GUGGGGGAUAUUGCACAAUGGGGGAAACCCUGAUGCAGCAACGCCGCGUGAGGGAAGACGGUUUUCGGAUUGUAAACCUCUGUCCUUAGUGACGAUAAUGACGGUAGCUAAGGAGGAAGCCACGGCUAACUACGUGCCAGCAGCCGCGGUAAUACGUAGGUGGCAAGCGUUGUCCGGAAUUACUGGGUGUAAAGGGAGCGUAGGCGGGAAGGCAAGUCAGAUGUGAAAUCCACAGGCUUAACCUGUGGCGUGCAUUUGAAACUGUUUUUCUUGAGUGAAGUAGAGGCAGGCGGAAUUCCGAGUGUAGCGGUGAAAUGCGUAGAUAUUCGGAGGAACACCAGUGGCGAAGGCGGCCUGCUGGGCUUUUACUGACGCUGAGGCUCGAAAGCAUGGGUAGCAAACAGGA